CGCCCAGGGGCGCGAUGAAGAUUUAGGAACCCAGAAGAGAACUGGCAGCUAGGGCUGGAGGAGCGCCAGUUCUUCAAAGCUAACGACCAGAAAGCUUUCUGCAUGGUACCCUGGAACACUACAGUCCUGUCUCUGAACCUGCUUCAUAUCCCCUGCCACAGAGAAAGAGGCUCAAUGCCAUAAAAUUAUAUCAUUUAGCUAUAGUACUGAAGACCGCAUGUGGGCCACUGGAACAGAGGAAUGGGCUCAGAAAUGAAACCACAUUACAGCCACCUUGUUUCCAAUAUGACCACUCACAGAUGAUGCUGGGAAAUUGAGACUUCCACUGGCAACGAAUGGAAUUUGUGUCUUACCUGAUGCCACACAUCAUAGUCUACAGAUCAAGGACUUAAAUCUAAG
rnacentral:lncRNA from 1 species